UCCCCAGGUCGUCCUCGCUCAGCCACUCUCCCUCCUCCUCCUCGUCCACCUCGUCACCCCUUUCCACCCGUGCCGAAAAAUCAUCAAACUCCUUCUUCAUCUUCGACCUGCGAAGACCGCACACGGAUGUUCAUAAUGGCCUGAUUGGUUUCUAAUGGCCAUGUCGGAAACUACAGCACCUCUGAGGCAAGCUUCUGCUCCCAGGGUACCAGCUCGUUCAGGAGCCGCAGCAGAGUCUCGUGCAGGUCCUUCACCCUCCUUCGCCUGAAUGACUUCUUUUCCUGUAGCGAAGACACACACGGGAGAUCCCUCAGGUCCUGCAGGUUUCUGCACACGAGCUGACAGCAGCGAGGGCAGGGAAACGGGGCAGAAGAACCUCACCUCCACUCACGACCGACACAGGAGCCUCAAUAUCCUGACUACCAAGAUCCUGAGAACCAAAUGAGACUCCAGAGCUUGAGACUCAGUCUCCCCGAGUCUCAUGAGCCUGAAACAUGGUGUCCUGGAACCGAGACUCAAAAUAUAUUGAGACACAGAUGAGUCUCAAGAUCCUGAGACUUGGUCUACUUGAGUUCUGAUCUCUCUGGAGUCUCUAAGAUCCCGAGAUCUGGCCUCUUUCAGUAAAGUGUUAAUAAAGUCUCUGAUCCUGAAUUUGGUCUCUCUUGAGUCUCAAGAUCCAGAAACCGAGUCUCCUAGAUUUGAGCCUCAAUGAAGACUUUAAUCUUUUUCGAUUUAAAGCUUUCGUGACUGGUUCUUUCGGUAAAGUCACGUCCCUGUGCAUCCAUCACUAUCGGCCUGGUUAUCAACAUUAUCACCAUCACUCACCUUAAACUGUGGUUCUGACGUAGGAGACAAAUUUCCCUCUUUCAGUUUCUUCACUAGGUUUGCGCUGGCUGGACGUUUUCCUAAACAAAGUAAAAUAUCCCUGUUAGUUUCAAUUAAAAAUGGGUCUUCAAGACUCAAAACAUAUAUGUUAAAUUAAUUACCCACACUACAGACACACAUACACUGCUAAAAAAACAAAGAUCCCCUGUAUAGCCUUUAACAGGCUGGUACGUUGCACAAGGGGGUGAUGAUGCCAGAAUCAUGUGUGGCUAUCUUUGUUUCCCCAGUGCUGAUGUACACACACCACACCAGGUACUCAUUUAAGGCUGAGUUGACCUCGGGUAGACCCAAGAGAGGUUUAGAUGCCACUUGCCACUGAGGCUAUUUGCAGCUGGGAAUCGAACAGAGGUCACCAAGGUGAUAGUGCAGUGCGAUAACCACUACUAAAAACACACACACACAAUAAUGCACAAGACAUACACAGACAAGUAGGUCCAUUCAUUCAGGAGGGUUUUAGUUUAUGUGGGACGAAACUAAAGUACACGGAGAAAACCAACCGUCCAUACUAGGGGAUAACACCCAAAGGUCCACAAAGAUGGAUUCACAAACACGCCUGCUCUAAAUCUUGACUUAAAGCUUUCGUAACUG